GCCGAGGUCCUGUGUCUAGGGUCCUGUGUCGACGAGGCCUGAGGUCCUGGGUCUAGUGUCCUGUGUCGACGAGGCCUGAGGUCCUGGGUCUAGUGUCCUGUGUCGACGAGGCCUGAGGUCCUGGGUCUAGUGUCCUGUGUCGAUGAGGCCUGAGGUCCUGGAUCUAGUGUCCUGUGUUGAUGAGGCCUGAGGUCCUG